rnacentral:tRNA from 1 species
GUAAAAGUAAGCUAAGCCAAGCUAUUGGGUCCAUACCCCAAACAUAGAGCGUAUGUCCUCUCUUUUCCA